GACGAACGCUGGCGGCGCGCCUAACACAUGCAAGUCGAACGAGCGAGAGAGAGCUUGCUUUCUCAAGCGAGUGGCGAACGGGUGAGUAACGCGUGAGGAACCUGCCUCAAAGAGGGGGACAACAGUUGGAAACGACUGCUAAUACCGCAUAACAUUUUCGAGAGGCAUCUCUUGAAAAUCAAAGAUUUAUUGCUGAAGGAUGGGCUCAUGUCUGAUUAGCUAGUUGGUAGGGUAACGGCCUACCAAGGCGACGAUCAGUAGCCGGUCUGAGAGGAUGAACGGCCACAUUGGGACUGAGAUACGGCCCAG
rnacentral:rRNA from 1 species